AACGUAACAUUAUAAAUAUAAUAUUUCCAGUAUUAUUAUAUUCGGUACAUUCGUAGUUAUAAUGUUUUGACUUUUCUGUCGUCUUGUGAUAGGAAACGUGUCUCUUUGUGGUCAGGUUCUUUUUUUUAAUGUUAGUUCUGGUUUCUUAGAGGAUUCGAACUAUGGUAGAGGGCAGUGAACGGAAAACGUGGUGGUCUCGUCGGUAGUUUCAAUUUUUUCUACUGCUUAGUGGAGGACUAAGCUCGAGCUGUGCUGAUAGUGAUCGAAACGCCUGGAUGCUCUACCGAGUUGAUAAUUCCUAAUUAAAUUAGGAUUAUUAUUUACGACUUCAGCCAACAUUAAUGGCUGCAACAUUGAGAUUGACGGAACAUUAGUCCCACAUAUAUGGGCCAGUAGCUAGUUACUCUUUGUGACAAGUAAGUAGUAAGCGAGAGAGAAGAUGAGUUAAGCAAGGCUUAAUGAACAGCGUCUUUACCUACAUAGAUCUUGAUUUUUAAGCCUAAUCAAGAUCUAUGUAGGUCUUUAAUCAAGAUCUAUGUAGGUAAAGACGCUGUUCAUUAAGCCUUGCCUCCCUCAUGAUGUGUGCAAUAGUACGUGCGGAGAAGGUCUCUUCUUCAUCCGGUUCUUGAACUGCCGUGGUCGCAGGGACUGGUAGCCGGACUAUGUGCCGACACCGCCGCUGAGGUAGACCGCGGUUCCUGUGUUCCUUGGAGCCGGAGCUGUCGCGAGGUCACCGCGUGGUGGUCUUGCGCUACGUCCGCCGACUCCGUGGGGUACCAGCUGCUGCGGGAGGAGACCUCCGCGCAGUCUUCGCCGCGGGAGGCCGCGAAGUUAGGCGGUGUACUGACGACUGCCGUAGCCGCCGUUUGCCGUUCCGGAGAGAUACCGGUCUCCGGUAGACUGGUACUGGGUCGGAGGGUUGUGCCGUUGAGAUGGCUCUCGCCUCCGGUGAGGCCGCUAGACGUUAACGGCGUCUGCUACCGACCUGUUCAGACCUCUUCAACCGAUGACCUCAAAGCCGGUGGUGCGCUAAGUGCCGCUUCUGCUCUACAAGGAGCUUGUUUUCCUAUCUUUGAAUAGUCCUCUAACUAACUGGCUAGAACAGAAGAACGUUAGUUAAUUAUUAGAUUGUUACUUAACAAAAGGAGGACAUACAUAUACACGAGUGUGCUUAGAGUGCUUCUUAACUAGUUAGCACUUUAUGGUUUUUUUUUUUUCUCGUCUUGUCCUUUUCCGAGUGUAGGCACGUCUAGCCGCCGCAGCUCCUAUACCGGUACCUGCUGGGAGGCGUCGCUGUGGGAGGCCGUGCGCGCGCCUCAGAAUAGCAACGUCGGGCGACGCCCUGUCCUCCGUCACCGCGCGGAGCCGCGUCGCUACGAGGGGAGCCGGACCGAGGAGAGCCGCGUCGUCGCCUAGGCCACGCUGUGGGAGAUCAGAUUAAUCUGCGAGGCCGUUGUCGCCCUCCGCGGGUAUGUUCGUUGCCGCGACGUUGUCAUCGCGAAAGACAGAACGCCGCCACCGCCGCCGCUGCGCGAGGUCUGCUCCAUCGGACAGGAUUCCGCCCCGCUGAGUGUCUCGUCUCAUGUGCGGCCGGGAGCCGGCGUAGUAGGAGCGCCGUUCUAGCUGCUACGCCGGCGUGUCGGUGUCCGCCACCGGACGCCGGUUGCGAACUGGCACAGUGAGGUCCACAUCUACGUCAGGGGCCGCCACGCCUCCGUUGGUUGUUAGCCGCGCAGGUGAGAGGGCUACGUUUACCUACACCACUAUAAAGAGAAAGAGUUUUCUUUAAGAAGUGCCCUACAAUUGGCAUGCCCCUUCUCUCUCUAAUCCUGUUCGGAAUAGGGAAGCGGUAAACUCUGAUUCGGGAAGAUCAAAGAAAAUAACCGUUUACUCAGUAGUCUGAAUUAUAAUGAACUUG
rnacentral:rRNA from 1 species